rnacentral:rRNA from 1 species
AUGGUGGGACACGGGAGCCUGCAGGCGUCGCUGUUGCCGGCGAGCAGCAUGGAGCGGCGGCCACCGACGGAGGGCCAGCAUGCGCCGGCCAGCGGGCAGCUGGCAGCUCCAUGCAGGAAGGUUCUGGAGGCAUUCGAUUUGGAUAUGGGGAGGAGGCUAACGGUGCAUGGAGAGCAGAGCGUGGCCUCGCCGCCGCUGUCCGCCGAGGGGAUUAGCCCGGAGGCCUCCUACUGCGACGGCGAGGGUAGGGGGCGUGGAGGAGGUGGACUAGAGAGGGUGGCGGCGAGGGUCCUCCAGAGUCGCCCGAGAGCAACCCGGGAGGAAGAGUAUCUCUGUUGGGUGUCUACACGUAGCUUCACCACUGGCUGGUUUGUUUGGAUGAAUGCAUGUUUACUGGUUGUCUGCUUUUAG